GACGAACGCUGGCGGCGGGCCUAAUACAUGCAAGUAGAACGCGGAAGGAGGAGCUUGCUUCUCUGGAUGAGUUGCGAACGGGUGAGUAACGCGUAGGUAACCUGCCUGGUAGCGGGGGAGAACUAUUGGAAACGAUAGCUAAUACCGCAUAAGAGUAGAUGUUGCAUGAUAUUUGCUUAAAAGUUGCAAUUGCAUCACUACCAGAUGGACCUGCGGUGUAUUAGCGAGUUGGUGGGGUAACGGCGACCCAAGGCAACGAUACAUAGCCGGCCUGAGAGGGUGAGUGGCCAGACUGGGGCUGUGACACGGGCCAGAAUCCUAAGGGAGGAAGCAGUAGGGAAGCUUCGGCAAGGGACGGAAGUCUGACCGAGCAGCGGCGCCUGAGUGCAGAAGGUUUUCGGAUCGUUAAGCUCUGUUGUAAGAGAAGAAAGAGUGUGAGAGUGGAAAGUUCACUCUGUGACGGUAUCUUACGAGAAAGAGACGGCUAACUACGUG
rnacentral:rRNA from 1 species